CUUCAGAAAAGUUAUAUCUUUUUAGAGCUGCUAGAACCACUGAAACAGCUGUUCCAAAAAACAUCAGUAGAAUCCACAUUAAAUACUUUGCUUCCUGGAUCCAGCCAACACAAGAAAGAGUCAUCCCUGCCAAUCUACUGAGUUCUUGCCUAAAAUAAAGACUCAGCCUGCUGAAAGAUACCCACUUGGUAACAAAUAGUUUUCUAUCUCUGAAAGCAGCAGAAUUUAGCGAAUUUUGUUAAAAUAAAACCAACAGUAGAAUCCCGCUACCACACUGGAAGUAAGAUCUGCUUUUCUUUGUCAUGUGGGGUUUUUUUUCUUUUCCUUUUCUUCUUUUUUUUUCCUUCUGAUGUUGUUUUGUUUCUUUGGUAGUAUAUUAAAUAGUAGCACAAAGAAAAAAUAUAUUCCUUACUAUUUGUUUUCUAUGUUAUACAUAUAAUAAAUACUUUAGAAAUUAAAUGAUAUUUUGAAUAUACAGCAAAUUCCUGCAUUUACUUUUCUGGAUUUUGCCUCAGUUCUUGUCUGAAACAUGUUUUGGGCUUUUAAUAAGACUGUCGCUGUCCCAUACCUGAUGUGCCAUAUGUGCUUGCUUGCAGGCCUUUUAAUUUACAGUGAAGUAAAUUGCUAAUGAAGCAGCUUUCAACAUUGUUUCAAUUUCAUUAAUCAUCCACCAGGGUAUUGCUACUGUAUUUGUCAAAAAAAGCCCCAAACCCUAGUACUAAACUUGCUGCAAGACAAGAACCCAGAAUAAGGAUUUGAAAACUUACUUGCACAUGUAUGUAUUAGAUCCCCUGAAUA